GACGAACGCUGGCGGCGUGCUUAACACAUGCAAGUCGAACGGAAAGGCCCUGCUUUUGUGGGGUGCUCGAGUGGCGAACGGGUGAGUAACACGUGAGUAACCUGCCCUUGACUUUGGGAUAACUUCAGGAAACUGGGGCUAAUACCGGAUAGGAGCUCCUGCUGCAUGGUGGGGGUUGGAAAGUUUCGGCGGUUGGGGAUGGACUCGCGGCUUAUCAGCUUGUUUGUGGGGUAGUGGCUUACGAAGGCUUUGACGGGUAGCCGGCCUGAGAGGGUGACCGGCCACAUUGGGACUGCGGGACGGCCCAGACGGCUACGGGAGGCAGCAGUGGGGAAUAUUGCACAAUGGGCGGAAGCCUGAUGCAGCAACGCCGCGUGCGGGAUGACGGCCUUCGGGUUGUAAACCGCUUUCGCCUGUGACGAAGCGUGAGUGACGGUAAUGGGUAAAGAAGCACCGGCUAACUACGUG
rnacentral:rRNA from 1 species